rnacentral:rRNA from 1 species
AGGCUGAUUCCUCCCAAGAGUUCAUAUCGACGGGGGAGUUUGGCACCUCGAUGUCGGCUCAUCACAUCCUGGGGCUGUAGCCGGUCCCAAGGGUAUGGCUGUUCGCCAGUUAAAGUGGUACGUGAGCUGGGUUUAAAACGUCGUGAGACAGUUUGGUCCCUAUCUGCCUUGGGCGUUGGAAAUUUGAAGGGACCUGCUCCUAGUACGAGAGGACCGGAGUGGACCGAUCUCUGGUGUACCGGUUAUCACGCCAGUGGUAUUGCCGGGUAGCUAAAUCGGGAAGAGAUAACCGCUGAAAGCAUCUAAGCGGGAAACUCGCCUUGAGAUAAGAUUUCCCUGGGGGUUCGACCCCCCUGAAGAGUCGUUCGAGACCAGGACGUUGAUAGGCUGGGUGUGGAAGCGCAGUGAUGCGUUAAGCUAACCAGUACUAAUUGCUCGUGAGGCUUGAUCCU